AGAGUUUGAUCCUGGCUCAGGAUGAACGCUGGCGGCGUGCCUAACACAUGCAAGUCGAACGGACUUACAUUGAAGCCUAGCGAUAUGUAAGUUAGUGGCGGACGGGUGAGUAACGCGUGGGUAACCUGCCUUGUACUGGGGGACAACAGUUGGAAACGACUGCUAAUACCGCAUAAGCGCACAGCUUCGCAUGAAGCAGUGUGAAAAACUCCGGUGGUACAAGAUGGACCCGCGUCUGAUUAGCUGGUUGGUGAGGUAACGGCCCACCAAGGCGACGAUCAGUAGCCGGCCUGAGAGGGUGAACGGCCACAUUGGGACUGAGACACGGCCCAAACUCCUACGGGAGGCAGCAGUGGGGAAUAUUGCACAAUGGGGGAAACCCUGAUGCAGCAACGCCGCGUGAGUGAAGAAGUAUUUCGGUAUGUAAAGCUCUAUCAGCAGGGAAGAAAAUGACGGUACCUGACUAAGAAGCCCCGGCUAACUACGUGCCAGCAGCCGCGGUAAUACGUAGGGGGCAAGCGUUAUCCGGAUUUACUGGGUGUAAAGGGAGCGUAGACGGUUUUGCAAGUCUGAAGUGAAAGCCCGGGGCUUAACCCCGGGACUGCUUUGGAAACUGUAGAACUAGAGUGCAGGAGAGGUAAGUGGAAUUCCUAGUGUAGCGGUGAAAUGCGUAGAUAUUAGGAGGAACACCAGUGGCGAAGGCGGCUUACUGGACUGUAACUGACGUUGAGGCUCGAAAGCGUGGGGAGCAAACAGGAUUAGAUACCCUGGUAGUCCACGC
rnacentral:rRNA from 1 species